GACGAACGCUGGCGGCGUGCUUAACACAUGCAAGUCGAACGGAAAGGCCCUGCUUUUGUGGGGUGCUCGAGUGGCGAACGGGUGAGUAACACGUGAGUAACCUGCCCUUGACUUUGGGAUAACUUCAGGAAACUGGGGCUAAUACCGGAUAGGAGCUCCUGCUGCAUGGUGGGGGUUGGAAAGUUUCGGCGGUUGGGGAUGGACUCGCGGCUUAUCAGCUUGUUGGUGGGGUAGUGGCUUACCAAGGCUUUGACGGGUAGCCGGCCUGAGAGGGUGACCGGCCACAUUGGGACUGAGAUGCGGCCCAGACUCCUACGGGAGGCAGCAGUGGGGAGUAUUGCACAAUGGGCGGAAGCCUGAUGCAGCAACGCCGCGUGCGGGAUGACGGCCUUCGGGUUGUAAACCGCUUUCGCCUGUGACGAAGCGUGAGUGACGGUAAUGGGUAAAGAAGCACCGGCUAACUACGUG
rnacentral:rRNA from 1 species